rnacentral:rRNA from 1 species
ACGCUCGACACCUACGGGAGUCAGCAGUGGGGAAUAUUGCACAAUGGGGGAAACCCUGAUGCAGCGACGCCGCGUGAGCGAAGAAGUAUUUCGGUAUGUAAAGCUCUAUCAGCAGGGAAGAAACUGACGGUACCUGACUAAGAAGCACCGGCUAAAUACGUGCCAGCAGCCGCGGUAAUCUGAGCGGGCUGGCAAGGC